rnacentral:rRNA from 1 species
GUACGGGAGGCAGCAGUCGAGAAUUUUUCACAAUGGGCGAAAGCCUGAUGGAGCGACGCCGCGUGAGGGAUGAAUGGCUUCGGCCCGUAAACCCCUGUCAUUUGCGAUCAACCCUUAUUAUUUAAAAGAUGAUAAGCUGAUAGUAGCGAAAGAGGAAGGGACGGCUAACUCUGUGCCAGCAGCCGCGGUAAUACAGAGGUCCCGAGCGUUGUUCGGAUUCACUGGGCGUAAAGGGUGCGUAGGUGGUGAGGUGUGUCGGAUGUGAAAUCUCGGAGCUUAACUCCGAAACUGCAUUGGAAACUACAUUGCUGGAGGGUUGGAGGGGGGACUGGAAUACUUGGUGUAGCAGUGAAAUGCGUAGAUAUCAAGUGGAACACCGGUGGCGAAGGCGAGUCCCUGGACAACUCCUGACACUGAGGCACGAAAGCUAGGGGAGCAAACAGGAUUAGAUACCCCAGUAGUCC